rnacentral:lncRNA from 1 species
GAGGAUCGAGGACCACAUCCCACUCCCCAACCGUAUCAAUUUCUAUCUCGACCUCUACAUCUUCCUCCUCAGUUUCCUCGAAUGAAUCAACAACUUCUGCAGAUGGAGCUACAUUUCUACUUCUGGAGGCUCUCUAUGCCACCUAUGGAUUUUCCCUCUCAGUAGAACCCAAAACAUAAUAUCUCACCGAAGAGGACGACUCUACUACAUCAUCAGCAUACCCGCGACCCUCUCCU